rnacentral:rRNA from 1 species
GACGGGGGGGGGCAAGUGUUCUUCGGAAUGACUGGGCGUAAAGGGCACGUAGGCGGUGAAUCGGGUUGAAAGUGAAAAGUCGCCAAAAAAGUGGCGGAAUGCUCUCGAAACCAAUUCACUUGAGUGAGACAGAGGAGAGUGGAAUUUCGUGUGUAGGGGUGAAAUGCGUAGAUAUGCGGAGGAACACCGAUGGCGAAGGCAGCCCCCUGGGUCAAAACUGACGCUCAUGCACGAAAGCGUGGGGGAGCAAACAGG